GACAGUAGUAGAGUUAACAGUAGUAGGUUGAUAGUGUUGGUAUAGUAGUAGAGUUAACAGUAGACAGUAGUAGGUUGAUAGUGGUGGUAUAGUAGUAGAGUUAACAGUAGACAGUAGUAGGUUGAUAGUGGUGGUAUAGUAGUAGAGUUAACAGUAGACAGUAGUAGGUUGAUAGUGUUGGUAUAGUAGUAGAGUUAACAGUAGUAGGUUGAUAGUGGUGGUAUAGUAGUAGAGUUAACAGUAGACAGUAGUAGGUUGAUAGUGGUGGUAUAGUAGUAGAGUUAACAGUAGACAGUAGUAGGUUGAUAGUGGUGGUAUAGUAGUAGAGUUAACAGUAGAUAGUAGUAGGUUGAUAGUGGUGGUAUAGUAGUAGAGUUAACAGUAGUAGGUUGAUAGUGGUGGUAUAGUAGUAGAGUUAACAGUAGACAGUAGUAUGUUGAUAGUGUUGGUAUAGUAGUAGAGUUAACAGUAGUAGGUUGAUAGUGGUGGUAUAGUAGUAGAGUUAACAGUAGUAGGUUGAUAGUGGUGGUAUAGUAGUAGAGUUAACAGUAGACAGUAGUAGGUUGAUAGUGUUGGUAUAGUAGUAGAGUUAACAGUAGUAGGUUGAUAGUGGUGGUAUAGUAGUAGAGUUAACAGUAGACAGUAGUAGGUUGAUAGUGGUGGUAUAGUAGUAGAGUUAACAGUAGACAGUAGUAGGUUGAUAGUGGUGGUAUAGUAGUAGAGUUAAC